rnacentral:rRNA from 1 species
CCUACGGGAGGCAGCAGUGAGGAAUAUUGGUCAAUGGUCGGGAGACUGAACCAGCCAAGCCGCGUGAGGGAUGAAGGUACAGAGUAUCGUAAACCUCUUUUGUCAGGGAACAAAGGCGGGGACGUGUCCCCGGCUGAGUGUACCUGACGAACAAGCAUCGGCUAACUCCGUGCCAGCAGCCGCGGUAAUACGGAGGAUGCGAGGGUUAACCGGAUUUAUUGGGUUUAAGGGGUGCGCAGGCGGUCUGUUAAGUCAGCGGUCAAAGCCCGGGGCUCAACCCCGGCCCGCCGUUGAAACUGGCAGUCUCGAGUUGGAGAGAAGUAUGCGGAAUGCGCGGUGUAGCGGUGAAAUGCAUAGAUAUCGCGCAGAACUCCGAUUGCGAAGGCAGCAUGCCGGCUCCACACUGACGCUGAGGCACGAAAGCGUGGGUAUCGAACAGGAUUAGAUACCCGGGUAGUC